CCUACGGGUGGCAGCAGUGAGGAAUAUUGGUCAAUGGGCGCGAGCCUGAACCAGCCAAGUAGCGUGAAGGAUGACUGCCCUACGGGUUGUAAACUUCUUUUAUAAAGGAAUAAAGUGAGGCACGUGUGCCUUUUUGUAUGUACUUUAUGAAUAAGGACCGGCUAACUCCGUGCCAUCAGCCGCGGUAAUACGGAGGAUCCGAGCGUUAUCCGGAUUUAGUGGGUUUAAAGGGAGAGUAGAUGGGUUGUUAAGUCAGUUGUGAAAGUGUGCGGCUCAACCGUAAGAUUGCAAUUGAUACUGGAAGUCUUGAGUACAGUUGAGGUAGGCGGAAUUCGUGGUGUAGCGGUGAAAUGCUUAGAUAUCACGAAGAACACCGAUUGCGAAGGCAGCUUACUAAACUGUGACUGACAUUGAUGCGCGAAAGUGUGGGUAUCAAACAGGAUUAGAUACCCGAGUAGUC
rnacentral:rRNA from 1 species